UUCUCUAACUGUUUUCUUUUAUGUGUGUGUUUAUUGACAAUUUCUGUUCUGUUUUGGCUUCGUAGAUGAUCUCUACAAGUGGGCCAAGGAGUUUUUUUUCUGGGUACACACAGCGUGCAUUUAAUCUGUAGGCAAAGAUGGAGUGUUGCUCUAGCUGUCUUACCUUCUCCCGGCCUGCUGAGUUUCCUGCAGGGCAGACUACAGUGUUUCAAAGCAGCGGAACAUCUGGGAAUAUCAGACAUCUAAUUACUCUAGUAGUCAAUGCAGUCGAUGCAGAGACGGGACUCCAGCCGCGAGAGAGGGAAACUCAGCAAAGACAAGUAAUUAGGGCUGUGGCAGAAGUCCAGACACCCAAUGCCUCAGUGUGCAUCUGUGUUUGAGCCAAUGACUGGCUAAACUUUGCCUGAGAUGUUUAGGUUCUGCUCACCAUCACCACGAGAGAGCAACAAGGUUUUGGGGCUGUUAUGGGAACCGGAUUUGGACAGUGAUCCAGUUUUUUAGCGUGGAAAAACAUAGCCGGGUUUCAGAUUGGGCAUUGGCUCCAGCCCCAGUACAAAAGGAAAAUGUUUCAAGAUAUUUUUACUGCUAAUAGGCAUUUCUAGGCAAUAUUGAAGAGGGCUUUAACCGUCGUCUUUCAUCUCAGCUCCCCUAAAAGUCUAUUUACUCUGCUGUCAGCACUUUUAUAAAUCAGUGAUUGUGAUUUUCUUCAUGUUUACUGGGAACAGCAGCUGCAGUAAGCUAUGUGAGGUUAUUUCAAUCAUAUUUCAUCCUUAUCAGAUUUUAAAAACAUCCCCCUAGUUAUUGGCGGACACGGUCAAAGAUGAUGUACGGUGACAAUGCAUAUAUCUGUCACAGAUGUCUCUCGUUCGAGCGCUUGUUGCACUGAAAUCCCAAAAUAAACGCAAUCAAAUCUGCUGUUACUGAAAUACA
ensembl:lncRNA